GUGAAAUACUGGAAUGUAGAUAUAUUAUUUUGGAAGAACAUUGACUGUCAUUUAAAAUGACAGUUGACAGUUACCAAAGUUGCACUACUCAACGUGUGUGUUUAUAACCAUUAAUUUAUUUAUAAGAAGGAAUUCUAAGGUACUCCAGUAGCUGACAAGGAGUAUUUUGUAUUGGCAUUGAAUGUUAUCUGUUUGUUUCCAAAUGACGACAGUAAAGCGCGUUUAGGAUACUACAGUCAGGGGAUGGUCCCUUUGAUAAAUCACCGACUACUGCAUAGUUUCAUGUGCCAUGUGAAACCCAAUUUCCACUAGACUAAGGAGGGCCCGCUGCUCAGGUGAGCAGAAUCCAAACAACAGGAAGAAUGUGCAAAGUAGCUUUGGCUCAUGCGAUCAAUAACGGUGGUCUAAUGAGUACUUUCGGUCAGAGCCUCGAAUUUGUAGUUUCACAGCUUUGGAACAUUGUGGAGAUUGAGGUAUGAUUCCUUUGACCAUUUGAGUUCUGUAAAAAGGGUCUUGAGAGUGAGGCCUAUUGAUGUUGAUCAACCUUCAAGAAAAUCUCUGUUAAGAGUUAAAACGAAAAGUGACAUUACUAUGGGAUCUGGAUAAUGUUGAAGCAGCUAUUCAACUGCUGCUAUAUGAUCAUAAACAGCAACCAUGUGAUUUUCAAAAAAAAGCAAUUGCUAUAGGGUGUUUGGUAAUUGGUUGGCUUUUUUCAUUGUCUUAUUGGCAUAUCUCUAAUAAACAACCAACCAAUACAUACAUAAUCUUAUCAAACAUUUCUUUGACAACUGUCUUCAACUGAAACACCACAAUCAUUGGCCAACCGAACCCUACAUCUUUUUCUUCUAAGUACUUAGAGUCUGUUCUCUUCAACUUAUUUUUUGAACUUAUUACUUAUUCUUAUUGGAAUCAAAUCAGAUCAGACCAGAUCAAUUUAGAACAAACCAGAUCAGACUAGAUUAGAUCAAAUCAAA